rnacentral:rRNA from 1 species
ACCUGCCCAAUGAGGAUUUAAAUGGCCGCAGUAUUUUGACUGUGCAAAGGUAGCAUAAUUAUUAGUUUUUUAAUUGAAAGCUUGUAUGAAGGGUUGGACGAGAUAAAAUCUGUCUCUAUUUAAAUUAAAGUAGAAUUUAACUUUUAAGUCAAAAGGCUUAAAUGUGCAUAAAAGACGAGAAGACCCUAUAGAUCUUUAUUUAAAUUGGGCUUUAAUAAUUUAGGGUUAUUUUAAUUUAAAUUUCAAUUUAAAUUUUAUUGGGGUAAUAUAAAGAUUAAAUAAAUUCUUUUUAUUUUAUAACAUUGAUUUAUGAAUUUAUGAUCCAUUAUUAGUGAUUAGAAGAUUAAGUUACCUUAGGGAUAACAGCGUAAUUUUUUUGGAGAGCCCAUAUCGAUAAAAAAGUUUGCGACCUCGAUGUUGGAUUAAAAAUUAGCUUGGGUGCAGAAGCUCGAGAGUUUGGUCUGUUCGACCAUUAAAUUUUUACAUGAUCUGAGUUCAGACCGGCGUAAGCCAGGUCGGUUUCUAUCUUUAUUUAGUUAAAAUAUUUUAGUACGAAAGGACCAAAUAUUUGAUAUAAUUAUAUUUGUUUUUUGAAUAAUAAUAUUACUUUGGCAGAAUAGUGCGAUGAAUUUAGAAUUCAUAAAUGUAAUUUUAUUACAAGUAAUACUUGUAUUUAGGAGAUUUAUUAUUAAUAAUUUUAUGUAUAUUAAUUUUAGUGAUUUGUGUUUUAGUUGGGGUGGCAUUUUUGACUCUUUUAGAACGAAAGGUUUUAGGUUAUAUUCAGAUUCGU